rnacentral:rRNA from 1 species
GACGAACGCUGGCGGCGUGCCUAAUACAUGCAAGUCGAACGCUUCUUUCCUCCCGAGUGCUUGCACUCAAUUGGAAAGAGGAGUGGCGGACGGGUGAGUAACACGUGGGUAACCUACCCAUCAGAGGGGGAUAACACUUGGAAACAGGUGCUAAUACCGCAUAACAGUUUAUGCCGCAUGGCAUAAGAGUGAAAGGCGCUUUCGGGUGUCGCUGAUGGAUGGACCCGCGGUGCAUUAGCUAGUUGGUGAGGUAACGGCUCACCAAGGCCACGAUGCAUAGCCGACCUGAGAGGGGGAUCGGCCACACUGGGACUGAGACACGGCCCAGACUCCGACGGGAGGCAGCAGUAGGGAAUCUUCGGCAAAGGACGAAAGUCUGACCGAGCAACGCCGCGUGAGUGAAGAAGGUUUUCGGAUCGUAAAACUCUGUUGUUAGAGAAGAACAAGGACGUUAGUAACUGAACGUCCCCUGACGGUAUCUAACCAGAAAGCCACGGCUAACUACGUG